AUGCCUCAGCUCCCUACCGCACCCCCCAAAAAGCCAGCAGCCGUUCAGGUUUCACGCUCAGCACACAGCCUUCAGAAGGCCCCGCUCCCCUGCCCCGACAGAACCCGUCCAGAGUUACAGCCAAGCACAGGAGGCAGAGAAAUUUGGGCUGAAACGCUGCUAGGAACCAGAACGUUUCUAAAAAGCAGGCUACACCUCACCUGCUGCCGCAAAGCCCUUCCUCCGAGGUACCUGACGGGGGCUGGAAACAAAGCAGGCAGAGCUCUGGGAGCCUACAACCAGAAGCGUCCCGGAACAACCUGCUGCGGUCCCGCAGCAGCGCCUGGAGCUCCCCACAGCCUCGCGAGUCCGGCGGUGCCUCCCGAGGACACGGCUCCGCCGAGCGCCUCCUCGGCGCUGGCACCCGGCAGAGGGAGCGCCGUGCCUCCCCCCGGGGCGUCUCAGCCCGGUUGUUGUCCCGUGCAAGGCGGCUCUGGGUGUUCUUCGAAGGCAGCUCCUACACGGACCGCUCCCAAAUCCCCGGCUGUGCUGCUGUCGGAGGGUGCACGGCAAGCCCCGGCCAGGCAGCCAGCCCAGCACACGGCCGUCCAGGGCCACCACGGAACAAUUCGAUCGUUUUUUGCUGCUAUCCCUCCCCAAAACUGUCGUGGCGAUUUGAGCCAAGAGGGACAAACCCCACAAAAUCAACACCCUGGGCUUUCAGACUCUGAUUUGGCAGAUGUUUUGCGUGCUCCAGUCUCGCUGUUUCCAAGCCUUGCAAUGACCUAUGGAAACCUUCCGCUGGAGACAGAAAGCUGCGAGCCAUCUUCGAGUACCGUAGCUAACCCACAGCCUCGGGACAAAAACACACAUCCUCAGAUCCCCUUCUCUGCGCAAAGAGAUCACCGGGCUGCCUCGUUCCUCUACACACCAAGAAACCCAGAGCCGUUGCCGAAAGCCACUGGGAUCAGCCUUGCUGCAGACGACCCCCAGCGCACGGGGGAGGCACGCCGGGCUCUCCACGGCCCCCCCAGAACCGCAGCACCACCCCGCGCCCAGCACCUACCGCUCCCGGCAGCCGUGCCGCCCAGCAGCUCCCGUCUCCCAAAAAGACGAGUGCCACGGGGCUGA
rnacentral:lncRNA from 1 species